GUCUAUGGGGUCGCACAGAGUCGGACAUGACUGAAGCGACUUAGCAGCAGCAGCAGAACCAAGACUGACAAGAUCCUGUGUGUCACAGAAAAAUUAAUCUGGAUGAAGCUGUGAUUCUAGACUGCCUAAGCCACUCAAAAACUGGAGUUUAUCACCAUUAUCUUUCUGGCAGCUACUGACACAAUCAACGUCAUUACCAAACUGUCCAAGCUAGCACCUCAUUUAUAUUCAUGGAUUGAUUACAAUCAAGAAUCUGCCAACUCCUCAAAGCACAUGAGCGCUCAACUGAAAGAAUAUAAAAUGCAGACAUGAGGAUGUUCAAUAGUUUCUCGGAGCACCUUCUGGAGCCAGGCAAGCUCCCAAAGAGCAUGCUGCAGGCUAGGUCAUUAAAGAGACUCGCAAACCUCUUCACGCCUUCUGGUUCUAAAAGCGCCUGUUUGCACAUGGAAGCAACCUAGAUGUCCAUUGACAGAUGAAUGGAUAAAGAAGCUGUGACUGCCUGUUUAGCUACAGCCUUUAUUAACCAGAAGCCUGUGCCCACUCAAGGGUCCUGCACAACACAGUGAAAUUUUAAUGGGCAGAACUGAAUGGAAGAGAGAAGCACUUCGUCACCACCACAGUGACUGGUUCUCCUGCAGAGGUAUUCAUUGGCCUUUGGUGCAGUGAGCAGACAGAGCGUGGACUCGGUCACAUCAGGACUCCAUGAUGGAGGCACUUCUGAUAUAGCAAUGGUUCAUGCCCCCUUGUGGGCUGCAGGCUCUCGAGAGUGUGAUGAAAACCAUGAUUCUUAGUGCCAGAAAAGCUGUGCUCAUGCGUAUACAUAAACAUGUGAGCAGUCUACCUGCCAACUAAGAGAUUCAGAGCAUCCUCCAGCUUGGUCAAGGAUCUGAAUCAGGCUGUGCCUCAGAUUCAUCUGAAGAAGUUCUGAAAACACGUAAUUUUAGGUGUUGUUUCUAAAGAGAUGGAUGAAAACCUCCCCCGAUAGGAAGGUGUGCUCUUCGUCCCCUGGUACUCAUGACAAAGCAGGGUGCAGAACAGCAUGCAGACCCAAGGUGCCUCGAUGGAGCCCCAGGUUAGCACCCU